UGCAAGGAGCAACAGGGAUUGCCCUAGUAACGGCGAGUGAAGCGGCAACAGCUCAAAUUUGAAAUCUGGCCCUCGGGUCCGAGUUGUAAUUUGUAGAGGAUGCUUUUGGUGCGGUGCCUUCCGAGUUCCCUGGAACGGGACGCCAUAGAGGGUGAGAGCCCCGUCUGGUUGGACGCCAAUCCUAUGUAAAGCUCCUUCGACGAGUCGAGUAGUUUGGGAAUGCUGCUCUAAAUGGGAGGUAUAUGUCUUCUAAAGCUAAAUAUUGGCCAGAGACCGAUAGCGCACAAGUAGAGUGAUCGAAAGAUGAAAAGCACUUUGAAAAGAGAGUUAAAAAGCACGUGAAAUUGUUGAAAGGGAAGCGCUUAUGACCAGACUUGGGCUUGGUUGAUCAUCCGGCGUUCUCGCCGGUGCACUCUUCCGGUCCAGGCCAGCAUCAGUUUGCUCCGGGGGAUAAAGGCUUUGGGAAUGUGGCUCCCUCGGGAGUGUUAUAGCCCAUUGUGUAAUACCCUGGAGCGGACUGAGGUACGCGUUCUGCAAGGAUGCUGGCGUAAUGGUCAUCAGUGACCCGUUUGAAAAACCCCGGAAGAAAAAAGGAGGGCAGAGAGAGGAGCAGGGGGGGGAAAGAGGCCAG
rnacentral:rRNA from 1 species